AAAAGUUGUACAAAGAAGUGAGACACACACAGGAUCACAGUUCCCCUGCUUUUCUGAUGAAGUCAUUUUGCGAAAACAGAAUGCAUUAUGUGAGAUGCAGACCAACUGUAUGACUUGCGUGAUGAAUUAGAUUCUGAAGUACCGGUUUGAAUUAUAUUGCUUAAAUUUAUCAAGCUUCCCACAAAAUGUCGUGUUCUGUUUAAUUUCUCCAAGACUUUUGGGUUUCUAAUACCAUGAUGAGAAUGGACCCUA